AGACCCGAAACCCGGUGAUCUAGCCAUGGGCAGGUUGAAGGUUGGGUAACACUAACUGGAGGACCGAACCGACUAAUGUUGAAAAAUUAGCGGAUGACCUGUGGCUGGGGGUGAAAGGCCAAUCAAACCGGGAGAUAGCUGGUUCUCCCCGAAAGCUAUUUAGGUAGCGCCUCGUGAAUUCAUCUCCGGGGGUAGAGCACUGUUUCGGCUAGGGGGCCAUCCCGGCUUACCAACCCGAUGCAAACUGCGAAUACCGGAGAAUGUUAUCACGGGAGACACACGGCGGGUGCUAACGUCCGUCGUGAAGAGGGAAACAACCCAGACCGCCAGCUAAGGUCCCAAAGUCAUGGUUAAGUGGGAAACGAUGUGGGAAGGCCCAGACAGCCAGGAUGUUGGCUUAGAAGCAGCCAUCAUUUAAAGAAAGCGUAAUAGCUCACUGGUCGAGUCGGCCUGCGCGGAAGAUGUAACGGGGCUAAACCAUGCACCGAAGCUGCGGCAGCGAACGUAUCACUUAAAGCGAUUCAGCGGGUUACGAUUGACGGAGCGAAGCGACGUCAAAGCGUAUACAAAGUCGAGUCGGUUUAAGGAUACGUUCGUUGGGUAGGGGAGCGUUCUGUAAGCCUGUGAAGGUGGCCUGUGAGGGUUGCUGGAGGUAUCAGAAGUGCGAAUGCUGACAUAAGUAACGAUAAAGCGGGUGAAAAGCCCGCUCGCCGGAAGACCAAGGGUUCCUGUCC
rnacentral:rRNA from 1 species